rnacentral:rRNA from 1 species
UACAGAGGUCUCAAGCGUUGUUCGGAUUCAUUGGGCGUAAAGGGUGCGUAGGCGGCGCGGUAAGUCGGGUGUGAAAUCUUGGAGCUUAACUCCGAAACUGCAUUCGAUACUGCCGUGCUUGAGGACUGGAGAGGAGACUGGAAUUUACGGUGUAGCGGUGAAAUGCGUAGAUAUCGUAAGGAAGACCAGUGGCGAAGGCGGGGUCUCUGGACAGUUCCUGACGCUGAGGCACGAAGGCCAGGGGAGCAAAACGGG